ACCUGAUGGUGUGGGCAUUUAUGAAGUAGGUCCUUGAAGCGCUCAUAGGUCUCAAAAAAAAGUCCCACAUCUGUUUGUGUGAAACUUGUGAUUGCCCUUCGCAACU